CCAUUGUAUGUCUCGUGCAGCGACGUCCGAACAUGCCUUCCUCUUCAAUGAUUGGCACAAGCGCGACUAGCCUUGGCCAUCUAGUUGGUUUCCUGUGCUGCGUACCUACACGAUGGAAUUCGCUCGGCAACGUUGCGGACGUUCGCCCAAUGUCGCCCUCGCUGGUGGCUGCGGGUGAACAGCGAAGCGGGAUUUGUGAUCCUCGAUGCAUGUCCCGGACAUUCCCAUCGAGGCCCAUGUUUCUUCUCUCGUGCUCCGGGACUCGGAAAAUUCUGGGGGCUAGUAGUCUGUGUGACCUCUAUCUGCCCGCCCGACCCUAAAACAUCCGAGCGACCUUCGAUGGCGCGCCGGCCCAGCCGCCGCGCGCCUCGAUGUCCGUGAGGAAUGCUACCU
rnacentral:misc_RNA from 1 species